UUAUGGAGCCUCUCUGGGCCUCAGUGCUGCCAUCUGUACCAUGGGGACUAGGUGGUCUGUAAAGACCUUCCAUUCAUCUUGCUGAAUUCUUGUGUCCUUCCGGAAGUCUGACUUUUUUCUUCUGGGUUGUAACUGAAGUUCUUGUGUCGCAGUUGGUGUUGGUUCCUGUCUCUCCACUCCUGGUCGCAGGCUCCAAGCUGCUAGUGACCACUCUGAUUUAUUGGGCUUUUUUCCCAUGAGUCAUCUCCUGUGGACCUGCCUCCUUCUAGACUUCGCCCCAGCACAGAGCUUGUCUCUCAGGCCUGCAAGGCAGGAACAGCCCCAGCUCCACCUGGACCUGCUGGGUGGUCUCUGGCAAGACCCUUCCCCUCACUGGAUGAAGUCUGAGGAAGGCUCCAAGAAAGCCUGAGCCCAAGGCUGAGUCCCCAAGGACUCAGGGGUGAUGGAAGGACCCUCAGAGAUGAUGCAAGGCAGUGGGCAGAGAGACCCAGCUGCCUCCCUGUGCUGUCACCUCCAGAGAAAGGGCAGAGGAGUCCCUUCAGCUGCAGUGAGUACACUGGUGUCCACUUCACAAGUUGGGUUGGCAAGCCGGGACUCCAGCACCUCCAUGAGCCGGCCGACGUCAGAAGCAGCCAGGUGGCACCCAGUUCGAGAUACCCUCCAUAUUUCUGGUCCCCAUCUCUUCUCCAGAACGAGGAUGCUCCUUUCAAGGAUGAUGAUCGUGAGGAAGUGGUACAAUCAGCCUCAAUCAGGACUUCAUGAUCACCAGGCAGGGCCACAGAGGAGAGAGGCCAAGGGAGAGCUCAUUGACAGCCCACAGAUGGCCUUCUGA
rnacentral:lncRNA from 1 species